rnacentral:tRNA from 1 species
AUUUUGUUAGUAUAUCCCUAGUAUACUUGUUUUCCAAACAAGUGGUUUAAUGAAAAUUUAAAUAAAAUA